GAAAGGUGAUGUGUAUUUAAAGUUUGGAGAUAUGAUUUUGAUAUUUGAGGAGAAUUAUUGACUUGAUCCCGUUGGUCAAUGUUCAUAUUAGUAUCCAUGUUUGACAUAGUGGUGUUGGUGGAUGAAGGUAAAGUCGUGAGAGGGCUUAAACUAUCCGGUGAUUUUGGCGGAAUUGAAGUGGAGUAGUACUGUUGGACUGUAAUUUAGACCACUCAAUUACUCCUAUGUUUAUCUAUUCAUCGAGAUUAAUAUUACGUCUUCCAUCACUGUUGAAUGAUAUUUUCUUGAACAUCAUCUUCAU
rnacentral:lncRNA from 1 species